UACGAAGGGGGCUAGCGUUGUUCGGAAUUACUGGGCGUAAAGGGCGCGUAGGCGGUCCUUCAAGUCAGGCGUGAAAGCCCCGGGCUCAACCUGGGAACUGCGUUUGAUACGGAUGGGCUAGAGUUCGGGAGAGGAGAGUGGAAUUCCCAGUGUAGAGGUGAAAUUCGUAGAUAUUGGGAAGAACACCGGUGGCGAAGGCGGCUCUCUGGACCGAGACUGACGCUGAGGCGCGGAAGCGUGGGGAGCAAACAGG
rnacentral:rRNA from 1 species